rnacentral:rRNA from 1 species
GACGAACGCUGGCGGCGUGCCUAAUACAUGCAAGUAGAGCGCUGAAGGAGGAGCUUGCUUCUCUGGAUGAGUUGCGAACGGGUGAGUAACGCGUAGGUAACCUGCCUGGUAGCGGGGGUUAACUAUUGGAAACGAUAGCUAAUACCGCAUAAGAGUAGAUGUCGCAUGUCAUUUGCUUAAAAGUUGCAAUUGUAUCACUACCAGAUGGACCUGCGUUGUAUUAGCUAGUUGGUGAGGUAACGGCUCACCCAGGCAUCGAUACAUAGCCGACCUGAGAGGGGGAUCGGCCCAACUGGGACUGAGAAACGGCCCAGACUCCUACGGGAGGCAGCAGUAGGGGAUCUUCGGCAAUGGACGGAAGUCUAACCGAGCAACGCCGCGUGAGUGGAGAAGGUUCUCGGAUCGUAAAGCUCGGUUGUAAGGGAAGAAAGAGGGUAGGAGUGGAAAGUGCACACUGUGACGGUAGCUUACCAGAAAGGGACGGCUAACUACGUG